GACGAACGCUGGCGGCGUGCUUAACACAUGCAAGUCGAACGGAAAGGCCCUGCUUUUGUGGGGUGCUCGAGUGGCGAACGGGUGAGUAACACGUGAGUAACCUGCCCUUGACUUUGGGAUAACUUCAGGAAACUGGGGCUAAUACCGGAUAGGAGCUCCUGCUGCAUGGUGGGGGUUGGAGAGUUUCGGCGGUUGGGGAUGGACUCGCGGCUUAUCAGCUUGUUGGUGGGGUAGUGGCUUACCAAGGCUUUGACGGGUAGCCGGCCUGAGAGGGUGACCGGCCACAUGGGGACUGAGAUACGGCCCAGACUCCUACGGGAGGCAGCAGUGGGGAAUAUUGCACAAUGGGCGGAAGCCUGAUGCAGCAACGCCGCGUGCGGGAUGACGGCCUUCGGGUUGUAAACCGCUUUCGCCUGUGACGAAGCGUGAGUGACGGUAAUGGGUAAAGAAGCACCGGCUAACUACGUG
rnacentral:rRNA from 1 species